rnacentral:rRNA from 1 species
UAGAGUUUGAUCCUUGGCUCAGCGAUGAACGCUAGUCGGCUGUGCCUAGACACAUGCAAGUCGAAGCGUGAGGGAGACUUCGGUCUUCUGACAAGUGGCGGACGGGUGAGGAAUGACGUAGGUGACCUGCCUUCGAGUAGUGGGGAUAACCACUGGAAACGGUGGCUAAUACCGCAUGAGGUGUCUGGCUUGGGAAAGCCGGACAGCAAAGCUAAGGCGCUGGAAGAGGGGCUUACGGCCGAUUAGUUUGUUNGUGAGGUAAAGGCUCACCAAGGCGAUGAUCGGUAGCUGGUCUGAGAGGACGAUCAGCCACACUGGAACUGAGACACGGUCCCGUACUCCUACGGGGGGCAGCAGUGAGGAAUAUUCGGCAAUGGGGGGAACCCUGACCGAGCAUACUGCCGCGUGAAGGAUGAAGGCCCUUGGGUUGUAAACUUCUUUUCACGGGGGAAGAGAGAGGACGGUACCCGUGGAAUCAGUCACGGCUAACUACGUGCCAGCAGCCGCGGUAAUACGUAGGUGCAAGCGUUAUCCGGAAUUACUGGGCGUAAAGCGUCCGCAGGUGGUUUUUUAAGACUGACGUGAAAGCGCCUGGCUUAACUGGGCGAGGUCGUUGGUGACUGGAAAGCUGGAGGCAAAGGAGAGGGGUGCAGAAUUCCCGGUGUUGUGGUGGAAUGGCGUAGAGAUCGGGAGGAAUACCAGAGGCGAACGGCACCUGGCCUUUGGCCUGACGCUGAGGGACGAAAGCGUGGGGAGCGAACGGGAUUAGAUACCCCCGGUAGUCCACGCCGUAAACGAUGAACACUAGGUGUGGGUGGUGUUAAAGCCAUCGGCGCCGCAGCCAACGCAAUAAGUGUUCCGCCUGGGGAGUACGACCGCAAGGUUAAACUCAAAGGAAUUGACGGGGGCCCGCACAAGCAGCGGAGCGUGUGGUUUAAUUCGAUGCAACGCGCAGAACCUUACCUGGGUUUGAAGUGGCUGUAGUAGUGAAGCGAAAGCGGAACGACCCUUCGGGGAGCAGUCACCGGUGCUGCAUGGCUGUCGUCAGCUCGUGUCGUGAGAUGUUGGGUUAAGUCCCGCAACGAGCGCAACCCUUGUCGCUAGUUACACGUGUCUAGCGAGACCGCCGGUAGAAAACCGGAGGAAGGUGGGGAUGACGUCAAGUCAGCAUGGCCUGUAUGUCCAGGGCGACACACACGCUACAAUGGCCGGUACAAUGGGCAGCGAACGGGAGACCGGGAGCGAAUCCCAUCAAAGCUGGUCGUAGUUCGGAUUGGAGGCUGCAACCCGCCUCCAUGAAGCCGGAGUUGCUAGUAAACGCCGGUCAGCCAUACGGCGUUGAAUACGUUCCCGGGCCUUGUUCACACCGCCCGUCACGUCAUGGGAGUUGGCAACACCUGAAGUCGGUGACCGAACCGUAAGGACGGAGCUGCCUAGGGUGGGGCUGAUGACUGGGACGAAGUCGUACAAGGUAGCCGUACCGGAAGGUGUGGCUGGAUCACCUCCU